rnacentral:ncRNA from 1 species
CUAUGACUUUAAGUAAGUCAUGGCGGAAGGAG